rnacentral:lncRNA from 1 species
UUUACGAACUCGAGCUCUAGGCAAAGGGCUAGUUCAAGAGCAAUAACGACGGCCUCAUACUCGGCCUCGUUGUUGGUUGCUUCAAACUCGAACCUGAGAGCGCAUUGGAUCUCUGUUUGUUUGUCAGGGCUGAUGAUGAUGACCCCUGCGCCCGAGCCCGAGGAGUUCGAUGCUCCAUCCACAAAUAUUUGCCAAGUGUCCAAAUUAGUGCUCAUGCUCGAGCUAUCACCUGGCCCCCGAGGCCUGGG